UAGGGAAUCUUCGGCAAUGGACGAAAGUCUGACCGAGCAACGCCGCGUGAGUGAAGAAGGUUUUCUGAUCGUAAAACUCUGUUGUUAGAGAAGAACAAGGACGUUAGUAACUGAACGUCCCCUGACGGUAUCUAACCAGAAAGCCACGGCUAACUACGUGCCAGCAGCCGCGGUAAUACGUAGGUGGCAAGCGUUGUCCGGAUUUAUUGGGCGUAAAGCGAGCGCAGGCGGUUUCUUAAGUCUGAUGUGAAAGCCCCCGGCUCAACCGGGGAGGGUCAUUGGAAACUGGGAGACUUGAGUGCAGAAGAGGAGAGUAGAAUUCCAUGUGUAGCGGUGAAAUGCGUAGAUAUAUGGGGGAACAGCAGUGGCGAAGGCGGCUCUCUGGUCUGUAACUGACGCUGAGGCUCGAAAGCGUGGGGAGCAAACAGG
rnacentral:rRNA from 1 species